rnacentral:rRNA from 1 species
CUCUUACUUAUAUAUUUGUAAGUAAUACCUGCUCAAUGAAUAUUUAAAUAGCCGCGGAAUUUUAACUGUGCUAAGGUAGCAUAAUCAUUAGUCCCUUAAUUAGGGACUUGUAUGAAAGGUAAAACAUUUUAAUCUCUUUCUUUGUCCUUAAAUUUUAAGUUAAAUUAAGAAUAAAAAUGUUCUUAUUUUUAAAAUAGACGAUAAGACCCUUUUGAACUUUACUGAUGUUUAGCUGGGGCAGCUAAAUAAUAAUAAUCUUACUUUAUAUAUUUUAUUAGAUGACCCAAACCGGUUGGAAAUCAGAUCAAGUUACCAUAGGGAUAACAGCGUAAUUUCUUUUUAAAGCUCUUAUUAAAAAAGAAGAUUGCGACCUCGCAGUGGAAUUAAUGUCUCUUUAUAGUGCAAUAACCUUAAAA